CAAUAGCGUAUAUUAAAGUUGUUGCAGUUAGAACGCUCGUAGUCGGAUUUCGGGGCGGGUCGACCGGUCUGCCGAUGGGUACGCACUGGCCGACGCGUCCUUUUUGCCGGAGACCGUCCCUACUCUUAACUGAGCGGGGUCGGGAGACGGCACUUUACUUUGAAAAAAUCAGAGUGUUUCAAGCAGGCAGCUCGCUCUUGCAUGGAUUAGCAUGGGAUAAUGAAAUAGGACUUUGGUGCUAUUUUGUUGGUUUCGAACACCGAAGUAAUGAUGAGAAGGGACAGUCAGGGGCACUCGUAUUCCGCCGAGAGAGGUGAAAUUCUCAGACCAGCGGAAGACGAACCACUGCGAAAGCAUUUGCCAGGGAUGUUUUCACUGA
rnacentral:rRNA from 1 species